GAAAUAAAAAUAUUAUUUGAUUUUAAUUUUAUUGGGAUUUAAUAUAAAUAAUUUUAUUAAUUAUUGUUUUUAGUAUAGUUUAUAGAAAGAAUUAGGAGAUUUAUAGUUUAUUAGUAUUGUAAAAGAAUUUUGAAAUAUUAGUUAUUUAUAUUAAAGUAAAAUUAAUUUUUUGUACCUUGUGUAUCAGGGCUUAUUAAAUAAAUAUUAUAUAUUUUAAUUUUCUCGAAUUUAAGGGGGAAAAUAGGUUAUUUUUAUUAUUGUAAAAUAAAUAUAUAAAAUUAUUUAUUAGUAAUGAAAAGUUAUUCGUCCUUAAAUAUAUCUAGUUUAUUUAGAAAUGAUUUUAAUUCAGUUAAUUGAAUUUAAUUUAUUUGUUUAUUUAAAUAAAUUAAUUUAUUUAAUAAUAGUUAAAGGGAUUAGCUUUUAAUUAAAGUUUUAAAAUUUUAUAUAAAUAGGGUAAAGUAAGUAGGUUUAGAAAUAUCUAUCAAUUUUAGUAUGUUAUUAUUAGUUUUAUUAGUAAUAUUAUUUUUAAAAAAAUUUAAAGUUUUAUAAAUAAGUAAUAAUUAAUAAUUAAAUAUUAGUUAUAAUGAUUAAAUUAGUAUAUUUAUAAAUAUUUAUAUUAUAUAGGGAUGAAGAUUAUUCAAAGGAAUUAGGCAAGAUACUUUUAUUCGCCUGUUUAACAAAAACAUGUCCUUUAGAGUAGAAUUUAAGGUUUGGCCUGCCCACUGAUUAAUUAAAUGGCCGCAGUAAUUUGACUGUGCAAAGGUAGCAUAAUCAUUAGUUUUUUAAUUAAAAGCUUGUAUGAAUGGUUGGACGAAAUAAUAACUGUCUUUGAGUAAUAAAUAGAAUUUAAUUUUUAAGUUAAAAAGCUUAGAUAAUUAUAAAAGACGAGAAGACCCUAUAGAUCUUUAUAAUAUUUUAUUUAUAUAUUUAAUUAAGAUUAUUUUAUAGUUUAUAUAAAAUAUUAUUUUAUUGGGGUAAUAAAAAGAUUAUAUUAAUUCUUUAUAAUUUGCAUAUAAAUUAAUAGAUUUUUGAUCCUUUAUUAAAGAUUUUAAGAUUAAGUUACCUUAGGGAUAACAGCGUAAUUUUCUUAAAGAGUUCAUAUCGAUAAGAAAGUUUGCGACCUCGAUGUUGGAUUAAAAAUUAUUCUAGGUGAAGUAGUUUAGAAUUUUGGUCUGUUCGACCAUUGAAUUUUUACAUGAUCUGAGUUCAGACCGGCGUAAGCCAGGUCGGUUUCUAUCUUUAUUGAGUUAAUAUAUUUUAGUACGAAAGGACCAAAUAUAAAGUAUAUGAGAUAUUUUUUAUUUUUGAGUUAUAUU
rnacentral:rRNA from 1 species